rnacentral:rRNA from 1 species
AACGCGAAGAACCUUACCUGUCCUUGACAUGCAAGUAGUAGAAGGAUGAAAGUCUGACGAGGUAGCAAUACCAGCUUGCACAGGUGCUGCAUGGCUGUCGUCAGCUCGCGUCGUGAGAUGUUGGGUUAAGUCCCGCAACGAGCGCAACCCCUGUGUCCUGUUGCCACCCCUUAACUGGGAGCACUCUGGACAGACUGCCUCGCUUCAACGAGGAGGAAGGUGGGGAUGACGUCAAGUCAAGUAUGGCCCUUACGGCCAGGGCUGCACGCCGUACUACAAUGCCCGGCACAAAGGGAAGCAAGAACGUAAGCUGGAGCAAAUCCCCAAAAACCGGGCCCAGUUCAGAUUGUCGUCUGCAACUCGACGGCAUGAAGCUGGAAUCGCUAGUAAUGGCGCAUCAGCUACCGGCGCCGUGAAUACGUUCCCCGGGUCUUGUACACACCGA